UACGGAGGGUGCGAGCGUUAAUCGGAAUUACUGGGCGUAAAGCGCACGCAGGCGGUUUGUUAAGCUAGAUGUGAAAGCCCCGGGCUCAACCUGGGAUGGUCAUUUAGAACUGGCAGUCUAGANUCUUGGAGAGGGGAGUGGAAUUCCAGGUGUAGCGGUGAAAUGCGUAGAUAUCUGGAGGAACAUCAGUGGCGAAGGCGACUCCCUGGCCAAAGACUGACGCUCAUGUGCGAAAGUGCGGGUAGCGAACAGG
rnacentral:rRNA from 1 species